UACGAAGGGUGCAAGCGUUGUUCGGAAUGACUGGGCGUAAAGGGUUCGUAGGCGGGAAUGUAAGUUAAGUGUGAAAUCCCUGGGCUUAACCCAGGACGUGCAUUUAAAACUGCGUUUCUUGAGUACUGGAGGGGGUUGGGGAAUUGCUGGUGUAGGAGUGACAUCCGUAGAGAUCAGCAGGAACACCGGAGGCGAAGGCGCCAACCUGGACAGAUACUGACGCUGAGGAACGAAAGCGUGGGGAGCAAACAGG
rnacentral:rRNA from 1 species